rnacentral:rRNA from 1 species
CCUACGGGAGGCUGCAGUGGGGAAUAUUGGACAAUGGGGGGAACCCUGAUCCAGCCAUUCCGCGUGUGUGAAGAAGGCCCUCGGGUUGUAAAGCACUUUCAGUGAGGAAGAACGCCUGGUGGUUAAUACCCAUCAGGAAAGACAUCACUCACAGAAGAAGCACCGGCUAACUCCGUGCCAGCAGCCGCGGUAAUACGGAGGGUGCGAGCGUUAAUCGGAAUUACUGGGCGUAAAGCGCGCGUAGGUGGCUUGAUAAGCCGGUUGUGAAAGCCCCGGGCUCAACCUGGGAACGGCAUCCGGAACUGUCAAGCUAGAGUGCAGGAGAGGAAGGUAGAAUUCCCGGUGUAGCGGUGAAAUGCGUAGAGAUCGGGAGGAAUACCAGUGGCGAAGGCGGCCUUCUGGACUGACACUGACACUGAGGUGCGAAAGCGUGGGUAGCAAACAGGAUUAGAUACCCUGGUAGUC